CUCUAUUUCUUAGAUGACUCCAAUUUAAAGUCUAGGUGAGAGAAAGUACAGCAUGGAAACCUAAUACUGUGGGCGAUUUAUUCGGAACACUUUUCAUUUUUCAGAGGUACCUUAACACUGAGAUAAUAAACACUGCUGAUCUAAAAUAAUAAUGGAACCCACUUAAGUCCGAUUGCUGUAUUUAAUGAGCAUGAAACAAAUUUCAUGGGCUACUCUCUCCUAAUGAGACUAUAUAAAUGAUCAUUAGCCUUAUCGACCAAUAUUUCUGUAGAAUUUCCCCAUAUAUUAAAUCUAUGGUUUAUUAUAACAAAAACUUUUUAAAUUAAACACUACUCUAUUGUCAUGACCAGGUCCUCACGGGGCAGAAGCGGAUUUACCAAGACCUGCACCGAGUACCGUCUCGGGAACCCCUACCUUUUCAAACACCUCUUCCUUCUCCCUGCGCUUCCGUUUUCGGGGUCUCCGGUUCACUCCAAUCCAUUUCGUGACCUGAGGUUCAAAAACCACAGCAUUUCAAAGAAGGCGACAGGGUCCUGACGGCCAUCCCCCAGCGCGAGAAAGCAGAGACCCCCGGCCUCGCGACCUGGUCUUCCCCGCACCUCGGGAGGCCAGGGCGCAGAGAAACCCAGCCCCGCGCUCCCG
rnacentral:lncRNA from 1 species